AUUGAACGCUGGCGGCAUGCCUUACACAUGUAAGUCGAACGGCAGCACGGGAGCAAUCCUGGUGGCGAGUGGCGAACGGGUGAGUAAUAUAUCGGAACGUGCCCAGUCGUGGGGGAUCACGCAGCGAAAGCUGUGCUAAUACCGCAUACGAUCUAUGGAUGAAAGCGGGGGAUCGCAAGACCUCGCGCGAUUGGAGCGGCCGAUAUCAGAUUAGCUAGUUGGUGGGGUAAAGGCCCACCAAGGCGACGAUCUGUAGCUGGUCUGAGAGGACGACCAGCCACACUGGAACUGAGACACGGGCCUUACUCCUACGGGAGGAAGCAGUGGGGAAUUUUGGACAAUGGGCGAAAGCCUGAUCCAGCAACUCUGCGUGAGGGACGAAGUUCUUCGGAAUGUAAACCUCUUUUAUUGGGGAAGAACACCCGCAAGGGUCUGACGGUACCCGAUGAAUAAGCCACGGCUAACUAUGUGCCAGCCGCCGCCGUAAAAC
rnacentral:rRNA from 1 species